GAUGAAGAACGCAGCGAAAUGCGAUAAGUAAUGUGAAUUGCAGAAUUCAGUGAAUCAUCGAAUCUUUGAACUCACAUUGCGCCCAUUAGUAUUCUAGUGGGCAUGCCUGUUCGAGCGUCAUUAAUUCCACUUAAGCCCUGCUUAGUGUUGGGAAUCUACUCUAGUGGUGCUACCCUGGAGCUACCCCUGAAAGGGGGCUGGCCCGGUAGCUACCCUGUAGUUCCUCAAAGAUAGUGCGCGGAGUUGCGUGGUCCUCUGAGCUUAGUAACUAUACACCUAGCUUUUGAGUGUCCCGCGGCGCCUGCCGUUUAAACCCCAUCUUUUAAUGGUUGACCUCGGAUCAGGUAGGAAUACCCGCUGAACUUAAGCAUAUCAAUAAGCGGAGGA
rnacentral:misc_RNA from 1 species